rnacentral:rRNA from 1 species
GCUGGCGGCGUGCCUAAUACAUGCAAGUCGAGCGGACCUUUUAAAAGCUUGCUUUUGAAAGGUCAGCGGCGGACGGGUGAGUAACACGUGGGCAACCUGCCUGUAAGACUGGGAUAACUUCGGGAAACCGGAGCUAAUACCGGAUAAUAUAAGGAACCUCCUGGUUCUUUAUUGAAAGAUGGUUUCGGCUAUCACUUACAGAUGGGCCCGCGGCGCAUUAGCUAGUUGGUGAGGUAAUGGCUCACCAAGGCGACGAUGCGUAGCCGACCUGAGAGGGUGAUCGGCCACACUGGGACUGAGACACGGCCCAGACUCCUACGGGAGGCAGCAGUAGGGAAUCUUCCACAAUGGACGAAAGUCUGAUGGAGCAACGCCGCGUGAGCGAUGAAGGCCUUCGGGUCGUAAAGCUCUGUUGUUAGGGAAGAACAAGUGCGAGAGUAACUGCUCGCACCUUGACGGUACCUAACCAGAAAGCCACGGCUAACUUCGUGCCAGCAGCCGCGGUAAUACGUAGGUGGCAAGCGUUGUCCGGAAUUAUUGGGCGUAAAGCGCGCGCAGGUGGUCCUUUAAGUCUGAUGUGAAAGCCCACGGCUCAACCGUGGAGGGUCAUUGGAAACUGGGGGACUUGAGUGCAGAAGAGGAAAGUGGAAUUCCAAGUGUAGCGGUGAAAUGCGUAGAGAUUUGGAGGAACACCAGUGGCGAAGGCGACUUUCUGGUCUGUAACUGACACUGAGGCGCGAAAGCGUGGGGAGCAAACAGGAUUAGAUACCCUGGUAGUCCACGCCGUAAACGAUGAGUGCUAAGUGUUAGAGGGUUUCCGCCCUUUAGUGCUGCAGCUAACGCAUUAAGCACUCCGCCUGGGGAGUACGGUCGCAAGACUGAAACUCAAAGGAAUUGACGGGGGCCCGCACAAGCGGUGGAGCAUGUGGUUUAAUUCGAAGCAACGCGAAGAACCUUACCAGGUCUUGACAUCCUCUGACACUCCUAGAGAUAGGACGUUCCCCUUCGGGGGACAGAGUGACAGGUGGUGCAUGGUUGUCGUCAGCUCGUGUCGUGAGAUGUUGGGUUAAGUCCCGCAACGAGCGCAACCCUUGAUCUUAGUUGCCAGCAUUCAGUUGGGCACUCUAAGGUGACUGCCGGUGACAAACCGGAGGAAGGUGGGGAUGACGUCAAAUCAUCAUGCCCCUUAUGACCUGGGCUACACACGUGCUACAAUGGACGGUACAAAGGGCAGCAAAACCGCGAGGUCGAGCCAAUCCCAUAAAACCGUUCUCAGUUCGGAUUGCAGGCUGCAACUCGCCUGCAUGAAGCCGGAAUCGCUAGUAAUCGCGGAUCAGCAUGCCGCGGUGAAU